AAGUCGUAACAAGGUUUCCGUAGGUGAACCUGCGGAAGGAUCAUUAACACGUAUCCAACGUUAACCCCCUGUGAACCUUCAUUGUGGACCCCCAUUCCGUUAGAACGCGGCAAUCCCUGGUAAAUCAUCGCCGAACAGUUUUGCAAGUGGCCUGGCAUUCGUAAGAAUGGCGCAGUCACGAUCGCUAGAGGCCGACACGGCCGGCGACCGGGUCACUGGGCUCUGCCCCCCUAUUAUCUUUGCAUGAAACCGGGCCUGCGCUUAAUUGUGCGGCCACCAAACUUCGAACAACUGUUAACAAUGGAUAUCUUGGUUCUC
rnacentral:misc_RNA from 1 species